GACAGAGGUGGCGAGCGUUGUUCGGAAUCACUGGGCUUAAAGGGCGCGUAGGUGGUAGUGCAAGUCUGGGGUGGAAUCCUAUGGCUUAACCAUAGAAUUGCCCUGGAAACUGUAUUACUUGAGUCAGUGAGGGGAGGGUAGAAUUCCUGGUGUAGCGGUGAAAUGCGUAGAUAUCAGGAGGAAGGCCUGUGGCGAAGGCGGCCCUCUGGCGCUGAACUGACACUGAGGCGCGAAAGCGUGGGGAGCAAACAGGAUUAGAUACCCUGGUAGUCCACGCCCUAAACGGUGGGUACUAGGUGUAGGGCUCGUAAGGGUUCUGUGCCGAAGCGAAAGCAUUAAGUACCCCGCCUGGGGAGUACGGCCGCAAGGUUGAA
rnacentral:rRNA from 1 species